ACUCCUACGGGAGGCAGCAGUGGGGAAUAUUGCACAAUGGGCGCAAGCCUGAUGCAGCCAUGCCGCGUGUAUGAAGAAGGCCUUCGGGUUGUAAAGUACUUUCAGCAGUGAGGAAGGGUGGAUGUCGUUAAUAGGCCGUAUUCCAUUUUGACGUUAGCUGCAGAAGAAGCACCGGCUAACUCCGUGCCAGCAGCCGCGGUAAUACGGAGGGUGCGAGCGUUAAUCGGAAUUACUGGGCGUAAAGCGC
rnacentral:rRNA from 1 species